UACGUAGGGUGCAAGCGUUAAUCGGAAUUACUGGGCGUAAAGCGUGCGCAGGCGGCUAUGCAAGUCAGAUGUGAAAUCCCCGGGCUUAACCUGGGAACUGCAUUUGUGACUGCAUGGCUAGAGUACGGUAGAGGGGGAUGGAAUUCCGCGUGUAGCAGUGAAAUGCGUAGAUAUGCGGAGGAACACCGAUGGCGAAGGCAAUCCCCUGGACCUGUACUGACGCUCAUGCACGAAAGCGUGGGGAGCAAACAGG
rnacentral:rRNA from 1 species